AUUGAACGCUGGCGGUAGGCCUAACACAUGCAAGUCGAACGCGAAAGUCCUUCGGGAUGAGUAGAGUGGCGGACGGGUGAGUAACGCGUAGGAAUCUAUCCUGUAGUGGGGGAUAACGUUUCGAAAGGAACGCUAAUACCGCAUACGCCCUAAGGGGGAAAGGCGGGGGAGUCUUCGGACCUCGUGCUAUAGGAGGAGCCUGCGUCGGAUUAGCUAGUUGGUGAGGUAAAGGCUCACCAAGGCGACGAUCCGUAGCUGGUCUGAGAGGAUGAUCAGCCACACCGGAACUGAGACACGGUCCGGACUCCUACGGGAGGCAGCAGUGGGGGAAUAUUGCGCAAUGGGCGAAAGCCUGACGCAGCCAUACCGCGUGUGUGAAG
rnacentral:rRNA from 1 species